GGCUGUGUAGCUCAGUGAGGAGAGCAUCUGCCUCACAAGCAGAGGGUUCAAUCCCCCCGGAAUCU